rnacentral:rRNA from 1 species
CGGAGGGUGCAAACGUUGCUCGGAAUCAUUGGGCGUAAAGCGCGCGUAGGCGGUCCAGCAAGUCGGGUGUGAAAGCCCUCGGCUUAACCGAGGAAGUGCAUUCGAAACUACUGGGCUUGAGUACUGAAGAGGAUCGCGGAAUUCCCGGUGUAGAGGUGAAAUUCGUAGAUAUCGGGAGGAACACCAGUGGCGAAGGCGGCGAUCUGGGCAGAUACUGACGCUGAUGUGCGAAAGCGUGGGGAGCAAACAGGAUUAGAUACCCUGGUAGUCCACGCCGUAAACGAUGAGCGCUAGUCGUCGCGGGUAUUGACCCCUGCGGCAACGAAGUUAACGCAUUAAGCGCUCCGCCUGGGGAGUACGGCCGCAAGGCUA